AGGGUUUGAUCAUGGCUCAGAUUGAACGCUGGCGGUAUGCUUAACACAUGCAAGUCGAACGGAAACGAUGGUAGCUUGCUACCAGGCGUCGAGUGGCGGACGGGUGAGUAACGCGUAGGAAUCUACCUGAUAGUGGGGGAUAGCCCAGAGAAAUCUGGAUUAAUACCGCAUAAUCUCUAUGGAGUAAAGUGGGGGAUCUUCGGACCUCACGCUAUCAGAUGAGCCUGCGUAAGAUUAGCUAGUUGGUGAGGUAAAAGCUCACCAAGGCGACGAUCUUUAGCUGGUCUGAGAGGAUGAUCAGCCACACUGGGACUGAGACACGGCCCAGACUCCUACGGGAGGCAGCAGUGGGGAAUAUUGGACAAUGGGCGCAAGCCUGAUCCAGCAAUACCGCGUGUGUGAAGAAGGCCUGAGGGUUGUAAAGCACUUUCAAUUGUGAAGAAAAGCUUAGUGUUAAUAGCACUAAGCCUUGACGUUAACUUUAGAAGAAGCACCGGCUAACUCCGUGCCAGCAGCCGCGGUAAUACGGA
rnacentral:rRNA from 1 species